rnacentral:rRNA from 1 species
AGAGUUUGAUCAUGGCUCAGGACGAACGCUGGCGGCGUGCCUAAUACAUGCAAGUCGAACGAAGCUUUCUUUCACCGAAUGCUUGCAUUCACCGAAAGAAGCUUAGUGGCGAACGGGUGAGUAACACGUAGGCAACCUGCCCAAAAGAGGGGGAUAACACUUGGAAACAGGUGCUAAUACCGCAUAACCAUGAACACCGCAUGAUGUUCGUGUAAAAGACGGCUUUUGCUGUCACUUUUGGAUGGGCCUGCGGCGUAUUAACUUGUUGGUGGGGUAACGGCCUACCAAGGUGAUGAUACGUAGCCGAACUGAGAGGUUGAUCGGCCACAUUGGGACUGAGACACGGCCCAAACUCCUACGGGAGGCAGCAGUAGGGAAUCUUCCACAAUGGACGAAAGUCUGAUGGAGCAACGCCGCGUGAAUGAAGAAGGCCUUCGGGUCGUAAAAUUCUGUUGUCAGAGAAGAAUGUGCGUGAGAGUAACUGUUCACGUAUUGACGGUAUCUGACCAGAAAGCCACGGCUAACUACGUGCCAGCAGCCGCGGUAAUACGUAGGUGGCAAGCGUUGUCCUGAUUUAUUGGGCGUAAAGGGAACGCAGGCGGUCUUUUAAGUCUGAUGUGAAAGCCUUCGGCUUAACCGAAGUAGUGCAUUGGAAACUGGAAGACUUGAGUGCAGAAGAGGAGAGUGGAACUCCAUGUGUAGCGGUGAAAUGCGUAGAUAUAUGGAAGAACACCAGUGGCGAAAGCGGCUCUCUGGUCUGUAACUGACGCUGAGGUUCGAAAGCGUGGGUAGCAAACAGGAUUAGAUACCCUGGUAGUCCACGCCGUAAACGAUGAGUGCUAAGUGUUGGAGGGUUUCCGCCCUUCAGUGCUGCAGCUAACGCAUUAAGCACUUGGCCUGGGGAGUACGGUCGCAAGACUGAAACUCAAAGGAAUUGACGGGGGCCCGCACAAGGGGUGGAGCAUGUGGUUUAAUUCGAAGCAACGCGAAGAGCCUUACCAGGUCUUGACAUCUUCUGACAAUUCCAGAGAUGGAACGUUCCCUUCGGGGACAGAAUGACAGGUGGUGCAUGGUUGUCGUCAGCUCGUGUCGUAAGAUGUUGGGUUAAGUCCCGCAACGAGCGCAACCCUUAUUGUCAGUUGCCAUCAUUAAGUUGGGCACUCUGGCGAGACUGCCGGUGACAAACCGGAGGAAGGUGGGGAUGACGUCAAAUCAUCAUGCCCCUUAUGACCUGGGCUACACACGUGCUACAAUGGACGGUACAACGAGUCGCUAACUCGCGAGGGCAAGCUAAUCUCUUAAAGCCGUUCUCAGUUCGGAUUGCAGGCUGCAACUCGCCUGCAUGAAGUCGGAAUCGCUAGUAAUCGCGAAUCAGCAUGUCGCGGUGAAUACGUUCCCGGGCCUUGUACACACCGCCCGUCACACCAUGAGAGUUUGUAACACCCAAAGUCGGUGGGGUAACCUUUUGGAGCCAGCCGCCUAAGGUGGGACAGAUGAUUGGGGUGAAGUCGUAACAAGGUA